rnacentral:tRNA from 1 species
AGUCGCAAACGCUGGUAACUACCUUGACAUGGUAGGGGUCACAGGUUCGAUCCCUGUCGCGCCCACCA